rnacentral:miRNA from 10 species
AACUCUGGACCCACUGUCUCAUACA